rnacentral:rRNA from 1 species
CCCAGCAGCCAUAUCACUCUGCAACUCACAACUGGCAACCCACUGAAGCUAAGUAGGUGUGAGCCUGGUCAGUAACUGGAUGGGAGACCUCCUGAGAAAAACUAAGGUUGCUGCUGGAA